rnacentral:rRNA from 1 species
AUACGGAAGGUCCGGGCGUUAUCCGGAUUUAUUGGGUUUAAAGGGAGCGCAGGCGGAGAUGCAAGCGUGACGUCAAAUUUCGGGGCUCAACCCCGUCUCGCGUCGCGAACUGCGUCCCUUGGUUGCGGGAAGGGGAGGCGGAACUCGUGGUGUAGCGGUGAAAUGCAUAGAUAUCACGAAGAACUCCGAUCGCGAAGGCAGCCUUCCGGCCCGUCAACGACGCUCAUGCUCGAAGGUGCGGGUAUCAAACAGGAUUAGAUACCCUGGUAGUCCGUGCAGUAAACGAUGGACACCCGCGGUUUGGCCUGUAUGGCUGAGCCGCCAAGCGAAAGCGUUAAGUGUCCCACCUGGGGAGUACGCCGGCAACGGUGAAACUUAAAGGAAUUGACGGGG